rnacentral:lncRNA from 1 species
AUGACAUAUCACAAAUUCCAUCACAUUUGACAUAAAACAAUAAUCAUUCUAGUUAUUAUUACACCAUCGAAUAAAACAAUAAUCAUUCAAAUUAUUACAACAAUGUUUAAGCAAAUUACAAUAACAAAACUCUUGUGCAUCUGCACAAUAAUCAUUCAAAUAUCCAACAAUCCCUUGUGCAUCUGCACAAUAUCCUGAAUCACUCAAGUAUUAUAUACUCCUCUGAUCUGCACAUAGAAGAGAUUCCAUAACAAAACUCUUUAUUCCAUGGGGAUGGCCUCGAUACAUAGAAGAGAUCCUAGAUUUUGUAUGUAAGUUUGCCAAAGUAGAGAUUUAAGAAAGAAUACAGCUAGUGGUUAAUUUACCAAGACAGCAAUAGACACUCUACGAGAGAUAGUACCCCAAACAAGGGGUGAAGAAUCUGCCCGGUUUCAUUGUCCCAAUCUACGCAGAGAUAGUACCCCAAACAUCCGGCGGCUACUAGCCUACCAACUAGAAAAGCUUUCAUCGGCCUAUCUGAAUCCUCCGACAAAAUUCACCAGAGAAAACCCAAGAUCCGUGCAGAACCGAAAUCUCGAUUCCACCAAGCAGAGGCUGUUUGCGGGGAGGAACGAGAGCCGCACCUUUCUGCUCAGCCUCGGAGCCGGCCAUCGGAGCAGCUGGGAAGGCCGAGGAGGGGGGAUUCAGGAGGUCCUGCUCGGCGACGCCACGAACUGUCUGACGAACCACCCGUCUCGUCUCUUCUCCGUUGGGGUCGGCUGCGGAGGGGCGGCGGGGGCGGCGCGGCGCUGCGGACGUCGGCCACGGUGGC